rnacentral:lncRNA from 1 species
UCACUUCACUACCGAGCGCAGCUCUGUGUGCCUUAGGUAUGUGCUGUGAUUUGUUGUGAUGCUCUGAUGGUUAUUGUAUGAAAAGUGUUCUGCGUAGGAUGUGUGCGGUGCCUAGUAGUGUAAUUUUCUGUAUGUUUUAUUAUUAUUAUUAUUAUUAUUAUUAUUAUUAUUAUUAUUAUUAUUAUUAUUAUUAUUAUUAUUAUUAUUAUUAUUAUUAUUAUCAUUAUUAUUAUUAUUAUUAUUAUUAUUAUUGAGUGAGAGAGCAGUGCAUGGCAUCAAAGUGACACUGGGGUAAAAUAUACGAAGCCCAGUAUGCCGAUCAUGACUACCCGUCUGAUAAGGGUACAGCAGAAUAUUUGCGGUAGCCCAUUUUUUAUACCAAGAGAAAACAAUGUACAUGAUAACACUUCCAAUCAGUUAAGAUCAGAAGCCAUGAGAGCCACUGUCUGGUACUACAUCAGGGCAUUUAUUAUUAUUGUUGUUGUUGUUGUUCGCUUUGAACCACUACGCCAUAUGCCCGUGCCUAUAUGGCGUAGUGGCUAAGAGCGCGGGCUGCUAAUCCUAAGAUUCCAAGUUUGAUUCCAAGCAGUGACCUGAACAAUAAUAAUAAUAAUAAUAAUAAUAAUAAUAAUAAUAAUAAUAAUAAUAAUAAUAAUAAUAAUAAUAAUAACAAUAAUAAUAAUAAUAAUAGUAAUAAUAAUAGUAAUAAUAAUAAUAAUAAUAAUAAUAAUAAUAAUAAUAAUAAUAAUAAUAAUAAUAAUAAUAAUAAUAAUAAUAAUAAUAAUAGUAAUAAUAGUAAUAAUAAUAAUAAUAAUAAUAAUAAUAAUAAUAAUAAUAAUAAUAAUAAUAAAAGUAAUAAUAAUAAUAAUAAUAAUAACAGAUGCAGUACCAGGCAGUGGCUCUCAUGGCUUCUGAUCUUAACUAAUUGGAAGUGUUAUCAUGUACAUUGUUUUGUCUUGGUAUAAAAGAUGGGCUACAGCAAAUAUUCUGCUCAAUACCACAGAUUUGCUUGUCAGUUGUUUGACCUUAACCAGUUGAGCAUGUCCCUUAGUGGCUGACGAUAUGUGCAUCUCUGAUCACGAGCAGAAGUAGUGGGGGAGCAUCAUAGCCAUGUGUUGAGAGGGAUUCUUUGGGGUUUGAAUAGUUCACCUCUGGAAACAUGGGUGGUUCUUUCAACAUCCUUAAACAACCCUUAUUCAGGGACCGUUUGAGCGGGAUGGGCUACUCAACCUGAAGAAAAUUCUAACUGGGCCCCACCUGCAAGGUCAUGUGCUGUUUAUCUUGAUAUGAGAUCACCAUGUCGCGCACAUAUGGUUGUGAUGCAUGUGCCUGGUGUACCUUUAUCAGACGGGUAGUCAUGAUGGGUAUAUUGGGCUUCGUAUAUUUUACCCCAGUGUCACUUUGAUGGCAUGAACUGCUCUCUCACUCAAUAAUAAUAAUAAUAAUAAUAACAAUAAUAAUAAUAAUAAUAAUAAUAAUAAUAAUAAUAAUAAUAAUAAUAAUAAUAAUAAUAACUUCGAAAAAUACCUUAGGAUUGAGUAGCCAGGUUGGUAAUUUCCCCAAGACACCCGAAGAAGGCUGGAGGGUAUAUCAGCCGAAACGUUAUCCGUCGAAUGUAAAUAAUGUAAAUAAUGAAGAAUUCAUCAUAUUCAUGAAAAUUAGCCAAAACAAUAAUAAUAUGAAAGAAAUAUUUGAGGAGAUUCGUUAUAGGUAUAAGAAUAUACCAUAAACAAAUAUUUAAAAAAUGGAGAAAAGAUGUUGAAACAGAAAUAGAUUUAUUAUAAAACUGGAUUCAAUGCAUACAUACUAUUUGAAAAACAAAGCAAAAAUGUAAGAAAAAUGUUUAAUCAUAGUGAUUAUAAUGAUAAGUGAAAAUAAACAAUUAAAAUUAGGAAUAAAAUAAAAAUAAAAUUCAAAAUUUAAUUUAUGCAUUGUCAUUCUCCUCAGUGAGGAAUCUUUUGAAGGAUAUCAAAAAAGUUUAAUAAGAUGAAGUAAAAUGAAAUAAAAAUAAGAUAAAAUAAAAAUAAAAUAUGAUACAAUAAGAGAACACAGAUGGGGCAAUAAAGGAAAUCUGAUACUUUACGAACCAAGUUGUGAACGGGAAAAAUAAUUUCAUCAACAAUAAUAAUGGUGAGAGAGACGCAAAAAGAAGAAAAAAUUAAUAAAUAAAUUUUAUUUUUAUUUUUAUUCUUAAUUUUAAUUUUUUAGUUUCAAUUAUAACUAUAAUCACUAUGAUUUAUAUUUUUCUUACAUUUUUGCAUUGUUUUUCGAAACGUAUGUAUAUAUAUAUAUAUAAGCCCUGGGGUCGAUUUGCUCGACAAAAGCGGUGCUCCAGCAUGGCCGCAGUUAAGUGACUCAAACAAGUAAAAGAAUAAAAGAUAAAAGAAUAUAUACGUAUCUAUAUAUUUAUAUAUAUGUAUGUAUGUAUAUAUAUAUAUUCCUAUGUAUGGAGACUUUUGAAUCACCCUGUAUAUAUGUAUGUAUGUAUGUAUGUAUGUAUGUAUGUAUGUAUGUAUGUAUGUAUGUAUGUAUGUAUUUAUGUAUGUAUGUAUGUAUGUAUGUAUAUAUAUAUGUAUAUAUAACUUUGAUAGGCUUAGACCAAUAUAGGCCCAGAGUAUGUCUAACGUAACAGCGCCAUCUGAAAUAUUUUAGUCAUAUAUGGGACACCAUGGCCCACUCUAGCAAAGAAUUACUAUUGUUGGAGGUAUAUCCGGGCGUAGGAGGUUGGUUCGGGAUUUUCUGAAGAAAUAUGAAUUUUAUGGGAUCCCUUUCCGUUUUGACGUAUUUUGGCAUGGUAAUAAAGAGAGCUGGACUGGCUGAGGUAAAGUAAUUGUGAUGUAAUGUUGCUAUGUAUAUCGAGUUGGAUUCUUGUAGUGGGCGGAUAGCACGGAUGCCAAGUCUUAGAUGGAUUUUAAAAUUGAUGCCAACAUCAUUUGUCCAUGUAUAUAUAUAUACAUAUAUAUAUAUAUAUAUAUAUAUAUAUAUAUAUAUAUAUAUAUAUAUAUAUAAACUUACAUAUAAGAGAACAAAGUGUACAUGCGCUGCUAUAUAUAUAUAUAUAUAUAUAUAAUACAAAAUGGAACAAGAACGCAAAACAUCCGGACAACCGAAAUUGCGAGGAUAAUCUGGUUCUUGACUGAAGAUAAAAAACUUCGAAUGAGACGUCCUUGGAUGUUUUGUUUCCCAUUUUGUAUCACCUAGUUGUCCGGAUGUUUUGCGUUCUUGUCCCAUUUUGUAUUACAUAUAUAUAUAUAUAUAUAUAUAUAUAUAUAUAUAUAUAUAUAUAUAUAUAUAUAUAUAAAAUAUUAAGUAUGUUACAGGAAGUAUGGGAUAUUUACAGAGUGCUCGUAGAGGACCAAUGCGAAAAAAUACAAAGUAGAGGAAAUUGAAAACGAAGACAUCCUAGCCAGUCAGAUUCCCGAACGCAUAAAUGAAGACAUUCGAUCAAU